GCGUGUAGGUGAACCUGCGGAGGGAUCAUUACACAAAUAUGAAGGCGGGCUGGAACCUCUCGGGGUUACAGCCUUGCUGAAUUAUUCACCCUUGUCUUUUGCGUACUUCUUGUUUCCUUGGUGGGUUCGCCCACCACUAGGACAAACAUAAACCUUUUGUAAUUGCAAUCAGCGUCAGUAACAAAUUAAUAAUUACAACUUUCAACAACGGAUCUCUUGGUUCUGGCAUCGAUGAAGAACGCAGCGAAAUGCGAUAAGUAGUGUGAAUUGCAGAAUUCAGUGAAUCAUCGAAUCUUUGAACGCACAUUGCGCCCUUUGGUAUUCCAAAGGGCAUGCCUGUUCGAGCGUCAUUUGUACCCUCAAGCUUUGCUUGGUGUUGGGCGUCUUGUCUCUAGCUUUGCUGGAGACUCGCCUUAAAGUAAUUGGCAGCCGGCCUACUGGUUUCGGAGCGCAGCACAAGUCGCACUCUCUAUCAGCAAAGGUCUAGCAUCCAUUAAGCCUUUUUUUCAACUUUUGACCUCGGAUCAGGUAGGGAUACCCGCUGAACUUAAGCAUAUCAAUAAGCGGAGGAA
rnacentral:rRNA from 1 species